rnacentral:rRNA from 1 species
UGGCGGACGGGUGAGGAAUACAUCGGAAUCUACUCUGUCGUGGGGGGAUAACGUAGGGAAACUUACGCUAAUACCGCAUACGACCUACGGGUGAAAGCAGGGGAUCUUCGGACCUUGCGCGAUUGAAUGAGCCGAUGUCGGAUUAGCUAGUUGGCGGGGUAAAGGCCCACCAAGGCGGCGAUCCGUAGCUGGUCUGAGAGGAUGAUCAGCCACACUGGAACUGAGACACGGUCCAGACUCCUACGGGAGGCAGCAGCG